rnacentral:rRNA from 1 species
UACGGGGGGGGCAAGCGUUGUUCGGAAUUACUGGGCGUAAAGGGCUCGUAGGCGGCCAACUAAGUCAGACGUGAAAUCCCUCGGCUUAACCGGGGAACUGCCUCUGAUACUGGAUGGCUUGAGAUUGGGAGAGGGAUGCGGAAUUCCAGGUGUAGCGGUGAAAUGCGUAGAUAUCGUAAGGAAGACCAGUGGCGAAGGCGGGUCUCUGGACAGUUCCUGACGCUGAGGCACGAAGGUCAGGGGAGCAAACGGG